GAUGAAGAACGUAGCGAAAUGCGAUAAGUAAUGUGAAUUGCAGAAUUCAGUGAAUCAUCGAGUCUUUGAACGCACAUUGCGCCCCCUGGUAUUCCGGGGGGCAUGCCUGUCCGAGCGUCAUUGCUGCCCUCAAGCACGGCUUGUGUGUUGGGCCGCCGUCCCCGGUUUCCCCCGGGGACGGGCCCGAAAGGCAGCGGCGGCACCGCGUCCGAUCCUCGAGCGUAUGGGGCUUUGUCACCUGCUCUGUAGGCCCGGCCGGCGCCAGCCGACACCCAACUUUAUUUCUAAGGUUGACCUCGGAUCAGGUAGGGAUACCCGCUGAACUUAAGCAUAUCAAUAAGCGGAGGA
rnacentral:misc_RNA from 1 species